AGCGUCAGAUACUUGAACUGCGACUGCACAUGCAAAGUGAUGUUCUGCUUUAUAGAAGUCUAGGCUAGCGCGGGCAAGCAUCAAUAACUGCACACACACACACGCACACAAGUAUACACCAGCGGUAGCAGCAGAUGCUGACGCCGACCUAGGUUGCACUGUCGAGGUGCAGGCAUUGAUACUCGGGUUCGUGGCAGACAGACUGACUGACUGACAGACAGACAGACUGACUGACUGAGUAGCGCCGUCACCGCCGGAAAGCGUCUUUGUGCAUCCUCGAAACGAUGCUGUGUCGGAAAGCCGGUGGUUCACCCGUCAGUACGCAGCGCGUUGAGGUACUCGACGGAAAAGUUCUACAGUGGUGCCUGUGUGUUUCAAGUGGCCCCACUGGGGCGGUUCUAGUGAACUAUGAGUGCGUGUACACGUGGUUCUUGCGCUCUUGUCCGUAGUAAACUAUAUGGCAGAAAUGCGCUGUGUUCGUGCGGUUUCAUAGCGAGCGCUCCUACCAGUCGCUUGGUACCGUGAGCUUCGUACGGAAGCAGCGUGCUCUCCGCAAGAAUUGGUCGAUCGUGCUCGUGGAGCUGCACCUGAAGGUAGGGCGCUCCGUAAUGGAAGCGCACAUCAAUUGGGAUAACCAUCGUGCUAUUUGGGAUCCUCUGGCUCAUGUGAACGAUUCGACGUCCCGUAAAAGCGCGCGCAGCCCUCGUGCUGGGAAAUAGAAUAAGAUACAUGCAUUGAACCGCGGUUCUCUUUUAUGCGAGGGUGCCAUGGAGGAGCAGGAAAGAGACCCAAGUUCCUUAAGAUACGCCUUCUUUGUACCUGAAUCCCCAGAACAAUCGUUCUUUGAUGCCUGGAAACUAGUCUCAGCGACUGUUUGGGUGGCGGGCCUGCCAGAGCUGCUUGCUGCGACGCGAGUCAUCCGCAAACCGCAGGCCUGGGGAGGCGCUUUGCGGGGUACGGCUGGUAAUGGUGUUCGGGCGCCCAUCUAGAUAUUGGUUUGAGGUGUCGACACUUGAGCAGACCAAAACUGCGUCGAAUGUCGCAUUUUAUCCAUGUUCAUAUCCGUGGUGCACUCGAGCUCGCUGAUGGAUGCCUCGCUGUUGCGCUGGCUUCAUACUAGAGCCGGAUCAGUUUGCUUUUGUUUCCGCAGGACCGCAUCUACAGAUAGUGGGAGAGGGAUCCACGCGGUGACAGGUGUCGCUGGACCUCAGAGGCAAUGCUGGCACUGCCGAAGCCUAGGCAUCGCCAGGAACGCACGCUCUGGAGACGCAUUGCCGUAGAGGCUUUUGCUACCUUGGUGGAUUUCCGUUUACGCUAAGGGCAUUCAUUUGUGGAAUAGCGCUUUUGCUCAAGGCGAUGCGUACGCAAAAGCGUUGUUCAUGUGAUUCUUUGCAGGACCGCGCUGCGGGGCGCCACAUGUGUACAGUGGAGACCUCUACGCUGCGCAAGAUAACGCCCCGAGCAGAUGAGCAUGGACGACAAAGUGCGCAACGCGUGAAGCUGCCUGGUCACAAGUGCUACACUCGAAUCCUCCUACGCUUAUCGCCGUCGGGCGUGGAGCUCCAGAUGGCGUUCCCCUGCAUCCUCGUCGUCGAUAAACGGAGGGCAGUGACUCGAGCCGCACGUCCAGAUGUGUCUCCAUCGCGAGACUCGCACGUAAACUGACUGCAUGAGGAUGUGGCAUCACAAGCACGAAGAGAUACUCGCGCUUUAGCGGCGACAAGAACCGCACUCAUGGAUAACGGCAUCGUCUUCGACUCGUGGUUCCGCACGUGCCAGAAUUUUUUACGUCAGUGAACAUGACGGCUCGAUGGAGGUGUCAGCGCAGUGCUUACCACAAGAGAGUCUGUUGGUCGAGCGUUCAGUACUAGAGACAGACCUACCGGAAGUCAUCAUAGGAUGCGCGCGAGCAAUGGCACCAGCUGAUGCUAGUGAUGCUCUACUCACCAUAAAGUUCCGCUCGC
rnacentral:misc_RNA from 1 species